UACGUAGGGCGCAAGCGUUAUCCGGAAUUAUUGGGCGUAAAGAGCUCGUAGGCGGUUUGUCGCGUCUGCCGUGAAAGUCCGGGGCUCAACUCCGGAUCUGCGGUGGGUACGGGCAGACUAGAGUGCAGUAGGGGAGACUGGAAUUCCUGGUCGUAGCGGUGAAUGCGCAGAUAUCAGGAGGAACACCGAUGGCGAAGGCAGGUCUCUGGGCUGUAACUGACGCUGAGGAGCGAAAGCAUGGGGAGCGAACAGG
rnacentral:rRNA from 1 species